GGAGGAUUGCUCAAGGCCAGGAGUCUGAGGCUGCAGUGAGCUAUGAUCACGCCACUGCACUCCAGCCUGAGUGACAGAGCAAUAUCCUGUCUC
rnacentral:miRNA from 1 species